UGACCGCUGGCGGCGUGCCUAAUACAUGCAAGUCGCGCGAACGGACGAGAAGCUUGCUUCUCUGAUGUUAGCGGCGGACGGGUGAGUAACACGUGGAUAACCUACCUAUAAGACUGGGAUAACUUCGGGAAACCGGAGCUAAUACCGGAUAAUAUUUUGAACCGCAUGGUUCAAAAGUGAAAGACGGUCUUGCUGUCACUUAUAGAUGGAUCCGCGCUGCAUUAGCUAGUUGGUAAGGUAACGGCUUACCAAGGCAACGAUGCAUAGCCGACCUGAGAGGGCGAUCGGCCACACUGGAACUGAGACACGGUCCAGACUCCUACGGGAGGCAGCAGUAGGGAAUCUUCCGCAAUGGGCGAAAGCCUGACGGAGCAACGCCGCGUGAGUGAUGAAGGUCUUCGGAUCGUAAAACUCUGUUAUUAGGGAAGAACAUAUGUGUAAGUAACUGUGCACAUCUUGACGGUACCUAAUCAGAAAGCCACGGCUAACUACGUG
rnacentral:rRNA from 1 species